CCCGAGCCAAUUGCGGCAAACAGAUCCAACCAUAGCAUCAACCGUGGUAAAUGAUUUCAAUCGUGGCAAAUUUCAGCAGAGAGUGAAAGGGAAGGCCUGAGGCUCCAGGCCAACCAUGGCAAUAGUUGCCUCCAGAGUUGCCCUAUGGCCUCUAUAUUUUGGGCUACGAAGAGAGAGAAAGGAGCAUAUGUUUUGGACAACUUUUGGGACUGGGGAGAAGGUGGAGCAUCCCAAACCAGAUACACUCCAAGGUAUUGCUAUUCAGGAUGGCAUGGUUACUUACUAGGCAUCUCCCUCUCUUCCAGCUAAUUAUGUGAGUGCUUUAAUUUCAGUGGACAUAUUGAGUCCAGUUAAUUUAUGUAUUUAAGUAGUUUAUGAAUAUUGUAGGUCAUGUAAUUUUGUAUAAAAUAAUAUUAUUGUACUCA